rnacentral:lncRNA from 1 species
ACAAAAACUUAACUAUAACCACUGAACUAUGAAAAUGAGGUCAAGGUAGGAUGACACCUGCCAGUUGGACAUGUACACCUUACAGUCCUUCCAUACACCGAAUAUACUAUAGUCGCCGUCAGCUGAAAUUCGUAGCGGUUAUCGGUAAAAAUAAUCUAAACUAUCAAUCGCGUUCACUCGAGAUAUAGUUUUUCACAUUCCAUUCAUAAAUCGCAUAAAGAAAAACCACUACUGACCUACCUUUUAAGUGAUCACACUGUAAUAAUCCUGACCUUCACUUUUUCAUAGACGAUUUUGAAUGGUGGAAUCAGCCAUUGUUUUUACCGGAAGUGUUUCCGUGGAGUUCAAUUUCAUAAAAUUUGCAUAAAGCGCGGGAAAC